CUCCACUGCGAGUGUCAUCACGUGGAUGCGUCCACCAAAACUAAUGAAUACGAUCGUCCACCACCACAAUCGUCCCAGUCGCUAGAUCUUUUCUCGGUAACUUGUCAUUGAUCUUCGUACAUUAUAAAAUUACAUAGAAAACGGGACCUGCUUGCACAAGCGUUGAGGAGAUUCCGGUGUGGAGAAGCGCUACAGCGAGGCACUCACCAUGCGCCUCUGUGGCUUCACGACAGGACGUGUAGAACCAUUCAUUUUGUGGUAUAGUCCACAGGCGUUGCACAGGUAGUGUCCUGUACCGUCUCUCCGCCACAGGGGUGUUGAGAUAGACCCGCAGUUGACACACUCCCGUGCUUCACCAUAUCCAGCGUAUUCAGGUGAGUCUCCGGCUGCAAGAA